rnacentral:lncRNA from 1 species
UAGACCUGUGGUGGUUCUUAAACCUGUAACUCCACAAAGAAUGUUGUGGAGAGUGAUAAGGUCUCCCCAGAGCAUCCUAUUCUCCAGGCUGAAGAAACCCAGAACGUUCCUGUAUAUGUCUGCAUGAAAGUCUGUGCUAAGGGAGAUGGCAGGCAAGAAGAAAGAAAUCCAGCUUCAGACCACAGUAUGCAACCAAAAUGAGUGGGAUGAAAUGUUGC